AAUUAUGUUGUAGAUUGAAGAGGAAUAAGAAGAAGAAGAGCAUCGACCAUGGUGAUGCAUGCGCUCAUGACUCGUGGAGCAGCUUGUGCGGCUCCAGGCUCAUCUUCUUCCGCCAAUCCUUUCGAUGCUUUAGGCAACGCUCUUAUCGGUUCUUCUUCCAAGACUUAGGCUUUCGUCUGAUUCACGAGCAGAACACCCACAGCUUCUGAGCCAUAAUUUUAUUCAGACGCUCAUGGCCACAUGCUGCACCAGAUCCGAGAGAAGGCUCACAAGGAUGAGCUUAAGAAGAACGAAGAGACCAUUUCAAGG